rnacentral:misc_RNA from 1 species
GUUGUGUUGGCGGAAUUUGUAGCUCUUGUUGCUGCUGCCACAGUUCACCGUGUGUGUAUCACAACAUGCUUCCUUUUCUCAGCAGGGUUUCUCUAUGAGAUCAACAGAUUCUCCGGUAUGCUGCUUGCAAGGAGUGAAUCGAAAGCAAAGCGAUACUAGUGAAGGCAGUAAUCGGGUGUAUCGGACAAGAAUGUGGACAUGAAUCGGGGACUUGUUAUCAGAGUGAACUGCUCUCUUUUGAGUCAAUCUAUUGAGACUAUAGUUUUGACAUACUCAGCAUGUUAUCUGCCGUGCUCUAUUUGUUACUGCUAUUAAU